AUGAACGCUAGCUACAGGCUUAACACAUGCAAGUCGAGGGGCAGCAUUUUAGUUUGCUUGCAAACUAAAGAUGGCGACCGGCGCACGGGUGAGUAACACGUAUCCAACCUGCCGAUAACUCGGGGAUAGCCUUUCGAAAGAAAGAUUAAUAUCCGAUAGUAUAUUAAAACCGCAUGGUUUUACUAUUAAAGAAUUUCGGUUAUCGAUGGGGAUGCGUUCCAUUAGUUUGUUGGCGGGGUAACGGCCCACCAAGACUACGAUGGAUAGGGGUUCUGAGAGGAAGGUCCCCCACAUUGGAACUGAGACACGGUCCAAACUCCUACGGGAGGCAGCAGUGAGGAAUAUUGGUCAAUGGACGAGAGUCUGAACCAGCCAAGUAGCGUGAAGGAUGACUGCCCUAUGGGUUGUAAACUUCUUUUAUAUGGGAAUAAAGUAUUCCACGUGUGGAAUUUUGUAUGUACCAUAUGAAUAAGGAUCGGCUAACUCCGUGCCAGCAGCCGCGGUAAUACGGAGGAUCCGAGCGUUAUCCGGAUUUAUUGGGUUUAAAGGGAGCGUAGGUGGAUUGUUAAGUCAGUUGUGAAAGUUUGCGGCUCAACCGUAAAAUUGCAGUUGAUACUGGCAGUCUUGAGUGCAGUAGAGGUGGGCGGAAUUCGUGGUGUAGCGGUGAAAUGCUUAGAUAUCACGAAGAACUCCGAUUGCGAAGGCAGCUCACUAGACUGCAACUGACACUGAUGCUCGAAAGUGUGGGUAUCAAACAGGAUUAGAUACCCUGGUAGUCCACACAGUAAACGAUGAAUACUCGCUGUUUGCGAUAUACAGUAAGCGGCCAAGCGAAAGCAUUAAGUAUUCCACCUGGGGAGUACGCCGGCAACGGUGAAACUCAAAGGAAUUGACGGGGGCCCGCACAAGCGGAGGAACAUGUGGUUUAAUUCGAUGAUACGCGAGGAACCUUACCCGGGCUUAAAUUGCAUUUGAAUAAUCUGGAAACAGGUUAGCCGCAAGGCAAAUGUGAAGGUGCUGCAUGGUUGUCGUCAGCUCGUGCCGUGAGGUGUCGGCUUAAGUGCCAUAACGAGCGCAACCCUUAUCUUUAGUUACUAACAGGUCAUGCUGAGGACUCUAGAGAGACUGCCGUCGUAAGAUGUGAGGAAGGUGGGGAUGACGUCAAAUCAGCACGGCCCUUACGUCCGGGGCUACACACGUGUUACAAUGGGGGGUACAGAAGGCAGCUACCUGGCGACAGGAUGCUAAUCCCAAAAACCUCUCUCAGUUCGGAUCGAAGUCUGCAACCCGACUUCGUGAAGCUGGAUUCGCUAGUAAUCGCGCAUCAGCCAUGGCGCGGUGAAUACGUUCCCGGGCCUUGUACACACCGCCCGUCAAGCCAUGAAAGCCGGGGGUACCUGAAGUACGUAACCGCAAGGAGCGUCCUAGGGUAAAACUGGUAAUUGGGGCU
rnacentral:rRNA from 1 species